AACAAGGCAGUUAGAACCACUUUGGGGCAAGGGGAUGGCAGAAAGGGAAGUAGGAGGUACUAAUUAAAACCUGUGGAAAGGGUUUUAAAGUUCCCAUACCAAGAAAAGUUAACAUACCAAGAAUAUCGUUACUGCUGGUCUACAGCAACCUCUUCUCCUUGCUUGUCCCCACACCCCAUGCUGCCUCACCUGCACUUCAGGUGCAAGCUGCCCCUUCGGAUAAUUUCCUUCUGUUUAUUUCCUAAGGUUUUCUUGUUGUUCAUUUUGGUUAGAUGUUACCUUCUAGGGAAAGUGAAGGGGGCAGAGAAUGAGUCUCGUAAGGCAUGAAGUGUCCUGGGUCCAGCGCUCCACGUGGGUGGGCCUGGCCAUUUUCAUUAGUAAUAACAGACACGCUGUACAACCAUUCAGGAUCAGCUACCAUCCUGGGCACUGCAACAAGGAACUAACCAAACAAAUAAACUAACCAAUCCACAGACAAAAUUCCUGACCUGGAAGGACCAUGAAGGCAAAGAGGCAUCUAUCUCACUGGGCACUGAGACAAAGAAUUCAAACCAAACCAAACCAAACCAGACUAAACCAAACAAAAACCAAUGCACACAGACACACAGACACACAGACACACAUACACACACACACACACCCUAGCCUGGAAAGAUCCUAAAGGUAAAGAGAUAUCUCAUUCACUAUUCUUCCCCCAGAGCCUGGCCUGACACCUGUAACACAGAAAGAGUUUAAUAGAUAGUUGAUAAAUCAGUGGGUAAAUAAAUGAUUGAAUAUUCUAUUCACACUAUAGACAAACAUGAUAAGUGAUAAAGCAUCGAAGAGGAAGAACUUGAGACAGGGUUCUACUGCUCACUCCAGGGAGUCUCUGACUGCCUAGGAAUGACUGAUACUGGUCUAGGACUUGCUUCUGUGUCUGCAGGACUUCCUGGAGCCUGGAAGUGGGGCUUAGCUGGGAGGCUGAAAAGGUGGGAAAAGCUCAUUCAUAACCCUGUGUGCCUUUCUCCAAAUACCUUUGAGCUGCCAACCUGAGUCAUAAUUCCUCUGCCCUCCUCCAGGAUCUAGAGUAUGAGGCUAAAAGAGGGAGAGCCCACCCCUAAAGCAAAGGGGUACAGCCUGGUACAUGCAGCAGCUUUGGGCUCCAGUCAUCAAGCUGUGUCCAAGGUCGAUCCACAAGUUAUAGCUAUGAGGAGAGCCCUCCCCUUCUCUUGAUGUUUGUCCAGUGAAGAGGUCACAUUUAGCAGCCUUGUGUAUGGCUGACAUGGCCCUAGAUAUCUCUCCUUCCUUUCAAUGAUGGCAACAGAAAGCAAGAGGCUCAUUGUCUCUAGGGCCCACUCUUCCUGCUCUUCCCUCUACUUCCCACAGGCACAGGAGCCUCACCCUAUGGCCACCACUACAGGCCCACAGGGAGUACUGCCAGGCUUCCACCGAUGUUUGCUUAAGGCCCAAGGGCUCUUCAGUCAGAUUGCAGUGGAUGUUGCCAAACCUGGGACUCACCACUUCAGAGCAGUGGGCUCCCCUGUGGCCCAGCCAGGUCUGGAAAUGCCAUCCAAGAGCCAAGGCCUGGAGUCGGGGCCCGAAGAGCCCACAUGAUGCUCUUCCCACCUGUGGCUGAGCUGGUACCUAAAAUCUGUUCAGCUCCUGUUAUCAGACUCUCCUGUGCAGUCCUCAUGUCUGUUCACCAGUGUGUUUUCCAGUGUAUCUAUUUUCAAUUGAGAAGGGAAGAAAUGAUUAAUCAUUACUUUCAAGUAAUUGUGAGGCUUUUGGACUUAAACAGCUAUGACUUUUGGUUAAAAAUUACCUUAAGACAUUUAUUAUUUUGAAACAAAU
rnacentral:lncRNA from 1 species